rnacentral:rRNA from 1 species
UGUACUUUUGCAUAAUGGGUCAGCAAGUUAAUAUUAGAUGCGAGAAAAGCAAUUUUUCAUCGAACACGAUGCAAAAUAUAAGUCUUAUUCCUAGAUAAACCGAUUAUUAAAUAAUGAAUUAGUAUCUAAAAUUAGACCCGAAGCCUGGUGAUCUUACCAUGAUCAGGGUUAUAAAAGCCCGAACGGGUUAUCGUUGUAAAGAUAUCCGAAGAAUUGUGGUAAGUUAGUGAAAGACAAUACUGACCAGGAUAGCUGGUUUUCUACGAAACAUAACCCG